CUGAAGUUUACCCAGUUUAUUACCAUUAGGUUAUUCCUUUUUCUGUCCAAUCAUGUUUCUCCAUAACUAUACAUUUCUUUCAUCAGACUUAUCAUAAAAUUACCCAGUUUUCCCUGGGUCUUUGAGUCCUCAUUCCUGAAGAUUCCUAUGUCACUUAAAACUUUAGUUAAAUAAAUUUGUUAUGCUUUUCUCUUAUUAAUCUGUCUUUUGUUACAGGGAUGUCAGCCAUGACCCUUGCAAUAGGUGAAGACGAGCUAUUACUUUUUCUCCCCUACAGCCCGCAUCCUCCUGAUACAAGAAUAUUGACAGAGCACCGCUCAUCACAGCCACAUUCCAAACAUCAGGAUGGAGGAAGGGGAAACACAGGGAGCCAGCUCUGUUUCCAGGAGUAUUCCCUGUGAUUAUGUUUCAUUUGCCAAAACACGGCCACACCUAGCUGCAAGAGAGCCUGAGGGAUGCAAACUAUUAUCUGAGUGGAAUUCUUAUUAGUAAGAAAAUGGGAAAAUGAAUAUUGAAAAGCAAAUUGCCUUCCAACUACAGAGUCCCAAUUCCUUUCUCCAGCUCAAGCCAGUCUUCUAAGCUUUUGGCUCAUAUAUCAAUAGCCCACUUGACCUUUCCCCUAGGACAGCUAACAGUGAUCUCAAAUUCACAUAUUUCUAAACCAAAAAAUUUUAUUGUCUCUUCCUCCAUCACCAAGCCUGUUCUUCCUCCAGUCUCUCAUUUUUAAUCAAAGCCCCACCAUUCACCCAGCUACUCAAGCCACAAAGACUUCCCAGGGACUGGUGGGCUUGAGACAAUCAGAAUCUCUUCCAGAAGCUAAUUACUAUCCCAUUACAAUUUGGCACGGACCCAAACAUUUCCCUGCUCAUAAACAAAUCAACAAAUCAGAAAACACUGAGCAUCUACAAGGUGCUCAGCCCUGGCUAAGAAAUUAUAAGGACACCAUCAGCUGAGGAGACAUGGGGCCUGGCCCAGGAGCUUACAGUGGAGUGGCAGGAGAAGGACACACACACAACCAGAGAGGGAGCAAAGUCAGAUAAACACAUUAAGCGCCAAAGGACUCUGCAGACCACCGGUGUCAGGACAGCUAGAGUAGCAUCAAGGAUGUCCCUUGAUAUAAGCAAAAUAACACCACACCCAAAGUCCAGUUAGAAAAAGCAACUGAUAAAGCUAUGUUGCAGGGGCAGGCAGGAUGUCUCAUGCCUUUAAUCCUAGAAAUUUGGGAGGUUGUGUGGGAUGAUUGCUUGAGGCCAAAGUUCGACACCAGCCUGGGAAACAUAGCAAAACCUCAUCUCUACAAAAAAUUUUAAAAGUUAGUCAGGCAUGGUGAUGCACACCUCUAGUUCCAGCUACUAGGGAGGCUGAGGUGAGAGGAUCAUUUGGGCCCAAGAGUUCGAGGUUGCAGUAAGCUAUGAUCAUACCACUGCACCCUAGUUAUGAAGAGGGGAGGCAAAAAACAACAACCCACACUUUCCCAAUACUUCAAGACAAUGGUAGAAGAGAAACCCCAAAGGCUCCAUGAUGAAUUCAUUAUGCAGACUGACAAUAAGGAUCUUGGAGAUCAGGGAAGUUUCUAGAAGAUGAGAUCUGAGCUGGACUAUGACAGUCAGGUAAGAUUCUGCUACCUGGAGAAAGAGAAAUCCUUUGAAAGAAGACUUUGGGGACACGUGCCCCAGCUUCUCCUGGGGGUUAUUGACACAGAGGAACGUGGCACAAGGGAGCAGUGGUGUGUCUGACAUCUCUCCAAUCAGUGGAAAGCAGAACUGGGAUCAAGGAGGAAGGAAGCACAAAUACUGCCAGACAAAUUUAGAUAAUCCCUACAGUGUAGGGGUGGCAGUGUGGUUAUGGGCAGUAGGUUUGAGAGGGUAACUGUGGGUGGUGGAUCCUGAAUACAGAGGUGAUGUGUUGGAUAUUUUUCUCUCUAAGUCAAGGUCACAAACCCACUGCCUCCUGCAGGCUGAAUCUGAUCCAUAGCAAUUAUCAUCUGGUAUCCAAAAGAAAGUGAAUGCCUUUAGGGUGUUCUUUAGUUAAAUGAAGUCCUCACCCCUGUGAUCCUACUGUGGCCACUUCACAACUUUGUGAUGACUCCAUAGCCCAAAGGCAUUUGAGUUUUUAAGCUUUGUAGGAAAUUUCAUGGUACUUUCAGCAAAUUAAGGAGUGACAUGCUUAUAACCAAAUUUCUAGUGCAAUGAUCCUACUGCCUGUGCAAGAAAGAGUGUAGGAAAGGAGAAACCUCGAAUGGGGCCCAGUACUUAUACCAUAAUAUAUGUCUUGGACUUGCAAAUGAUGAGCCUUGAUAAUUCAGCUUCCUUAGCUUGGGGGUAACUUGUCCUCUGAGCUUUACUGAAAGACAAAUUGGUCAUUACAGGCUUAGCUCUGAGAAGACUUCCUGAAGGGCCUGAGAAAAUGGUGUGGCUCCAGCUGUUUCAGCUCCCAAUGUUUGAGUCUUUACAGCUCAGGCACCACACAAGUGAGUGACAGAACCUUCAGGUGAUUCCGGUUCCUGUUACUACUGAUGGUGACUGUAGUAGACCCAGAGGUGAGCCCAGUCAGCUCUCAGCAAUGCAAGAAGUAGCAAUCAAAAGAACUGUUUUUUUCAACUGAGUUUUGAGAUGGUUCUAUAAGCAGGGAGAGACAAUUGGUACCCCAGGUCUCCUGACCCCCAGUGAUUCCUACUGCAUCUCCAUUUCUGAGGGCACACACAUGAGCAGGUCCCAGAGGGCCUAGCACCACCCCAACUGCUCUGAGACCCCAGAACGAGGCACAGGGCAGGGGAAGAAGCAGACAACCAUAUCUGCAGAAUGGGUGGCAGCAAGUUCUGGUGACAUCUUGACCAGUGGGGUUGUUAGAGAAACCCUUUGGAAGAAGCAUGUGAGGACACAAGCCCCAGCUUCUCCUAGAAGGUAAUUGACAUGGGGGAACAUGGCAUAAGGGAGCCCUGGGGUAUUUGACAUCUCUCCCAUCAGACCACAAAGUCUGGUCAUCAGCUGAACUUCUCAGGUCCUGCCAUCUUAAGAACUUGAAUUAAAUCAAGUUGGCUUGCUCAAAAACUAUCAAUGGCUCAAUUCUUUAUUGGAAGAAUUCUUAAGUCUCCUGCCUGCACAUUAAGUGUUGCAGCUCUUUCACUGCUGUAGUUCACCAAGUUCCAAGUUCUUGUCCUACGACUGAUAAGAAUGGGGUAUGGAUACACUGGAGAGAGAGUAAGGCAAAGUAGAAUUUAUUGAGCAACAGAAAAGCUCUGGACAGUGAGAGGGGACCCAAAGGUCGGUUGCUUGCCACAAGGCUGAGUCUAGGAGUUUUAUGGACUUGAAAUGGGGAAGUGCAUGCUGAUUGGUCUGUGGAUGUGCUUGAAAAAGCACCAUUCAGAAAUAGGCACAAAAGCGUAGAGGAUAAAUUGGGGAAGGGUAGGUAUAUGUAAAAUAGGUAAAGGAUAAGGACCAAUCUGGAGACAGCAUGCCAAAUGGGAAUGGGAGUUCUCAAUCUGGCCCACGGAUUUAUCCAGAGCUCACAGCUUGGGUUUCAGGCUUAGAUUAUCCUUUGCUCGAAGGUUGAAUUUCACUGGGGACCUAGCCCUGUCUGCCUAAGAAAUUACCUGCCUCCUGUCGCUAUCACCAGUAGGGCUCUAAUAAACUCUUCCCAUUUUGUCUCCCAUGGCCAUGUCUCCUUUUGAAACCAGCUUUGCAAAAGUCACAGCUGAGGAAAUUAUGGCAGUGAGAUAAACUGACAUGGCUGACUCCAUCUUGUCUCUAGCAUCACAGAUAACAUCACUUUUGAAGAACCUAAGACUGGCCUUUUGAGAUAUCUUUUCAAGAUUUUGCAUUUCUGACAACCAGAUGGCCCCACCUGGACCUGCCAACCAGUCCUGUGGCCCCCACCCAGGGAACUAACUCAGCACAAGAGGACAGCUUCGACUCCCUAUGAUUUCAUCUUCUAGCAAAACAAUCAGCACUCUCGACUCACUAGCCCCAUACCCACUAAAUUAACCUUAAAAACUCCAGUCCCCAAAUUCUCAGGGAGACUAAUUUGAAUAAUAAUAAAACUCAAGUCUCCUGUACAGUCAGCUCUGCAUGAAUUAAACUCUUUCUCUAUGACAAUUCCCUUGUCUUGAUAAAUUGGCUCUCUCUAGGCAGUUGAUAAGGAGAACUUAUUGGGCAGUUACACUUUCCUCCUUCUAGACACACCUUACACAAACUGUUUCUGUGCCUUAGUUCAUGACAUUUCCCAUAGGUAGAAUAUUCCCCUCCUCUCCCUCUUCUAUCUACCCUAUUCUUAGAUCCUGCUGGAGCUCAGAUCCGCUCUCCUAUGGAAGGUCUUUCGUGGCCACACUACCCAGUUGCCUCUGUACUCCACAGUACACUAGUGCCUACCAUUCAUCCAUGCAUUGCUGAAUCAGAGAAGGUCCCUGAUGUAGGAGUUUACAGCACAGUGAGAAGAGAGGAGACAGAAAGACCACAACAAUCCAUCUGCAGCAUCAGAAAUUCCUUCCAACGAAGAAAGCUAUUUUUGUUUGUGUGUGUGUGUGUGUGGGUUUUCUUGCCUUGUAUUUUGUGGAAAAGGUAAAUAAAUGACUCUAA
rnacentral:lncRNA from 10 species